AUGUCACCGAUCUCGCUGGUUGGCCCGACGCCGGCCGACCACGAGAGCUCCGGCCGGUUAGAGAAUCUUCUCCGUGAGGCCGGCCUGUACGAGACCUCCGAUGAGCUGGCGGUCCGCGAGGAGGUGCUGCGCGAUCUCCAAGCCAUCGUCGACCGGUGGGUGAAGCGCGUCACCGCUCAGCGAGGGUUUCCCCACGGCAUGGCUGAGCAGGCCACCGCCCUUCUGAUUCCCUUCGGUUCCUACCGUCUCGGCGUUCACGGCCGCGGCUCCGACAUCGACGCCCUCGUCGUCGGCCCCUCCUACAUCGACCGCGACCGCGACUUCUUCGCCGUGCUUGGCGGCGUGCUGGCGGAGACGGAGGCCGUGACGGAGCUGCAGCCUGUGCCUCGCGCGCACGUGCCCGUCAUCAAGAUGAGCUUCCGCGGCGUGCAGGUGGACCUCCUCUACGCCGGCGUGUGCCUGCCCGUGGUGCCCAGGGACCUCGACCUGCGCGACCGCUCCGUUUUCCGCGGCAUGGACCUGGCCUCCGCGCGCAGCCUCAACGGCGUGCGCGUCGCCGACGAGCUCCUGCGUCUCGUCCCGGACGCCGGCGCCUUCCGCACGACGCUGCGGUGCAUCAAGCACUGGGCCAAGGCGCGGGGCGUCUACUCCAACGUGAUGGGGUUCCUCGGCGGCGUGGGCUGGGCGAUCCUGGUGGCGCGCGUGUGCCAGCUCUACCCCAACGCCGCGCCGAGCAUGCUGGUGCCGCGCUUCUUCAAGAUCUUCGCGCAGUGGAAGUGGCCCAACCCGGUGCUGCUGCGGGACAUCGAGCACGACGACGGCGGCGAGCUCGCGCUCCGGCUGCCCGUCUGGGACCCGCGGCGGAACCCGCGCGACAAGAGCCACAUCAUGCCCGUCAUCACGCCGGCCUACCCAUGCAUGAACUCGUGCUACAACGUCUCGCACCCCACCCUGCGGACCAUCACGGAGCAGCUCCAGAUCGGCAACGGCAUCUGCCAGGAGAUCCUCAAGGGCGGCGGCGCCGGCGGGUGGGACGCGCUGUUCCAGCCGUUCCAGUUCUUCAAGGCGUACAAGAGCUACCUGCAGGUGGACGUGAAGGUCGCCGGAGGGGAGGCCGACCUCCGGGAGUGGAAGGGGUGGGUGGAGUCGCGGCUGAGGCAGCUGGUGAACAGGGUCGAGAUGGCCACGGCAAGCAUGCUGCUCUGCCAUCCCAACCCGAAAGCCUACGCCGCCAAACCCCAUGAUCUCCACUGCACGUCAACCUUCUUCGUGGGCUUGUCCAAGCCACAGCAGCAGCAGCAGCCCCAGGUGCCGUUCGACCUACGCGUGACGACGGAGGGGUUCAAGCAGGAGGUGUACACGUACGAGUUCUGGAGGCCCGGGAUGGAGCUGGAGGUCUCGCACACCCGGAGGAGGGACCUGCCGUCCUACGUGCUCGAGCAGAUCCUCCCGGCUGGGCAUCUCAAGAGGAAGCGCGUCGCCGAGAACAACUCUUCUCCUCCGUUGUCGUCUGCUUCCGGCGAGGUCAAGAAGGUGGCGGCGGCCGGCGGAACCGGAUCGGCGCCUGAGAGGAAGAGGCAAUGCUGUCCCAGCAGCAACAUCCUUCCCAGCGCUUCAGUACAGGGCGUUGUGUGA
rnacentral:rRNA from 1 species